GUCCGAGUCCGAAAGCACCAUUUGUCAUGAAGAUGAAGCCCUCUUCGGCGACCUUUUUUCUGAGGGUGGUCGUUCAGCAGGUUCUGUGGAUGGAUAUGAUCAACCUGCUGUUGCACCUAGUUCUAAUAUAAGCAAUAUGCCCAUUCAGGCUGCAACUGAAUUGCUCAGCUUUUUGAAUGAUAGCAUUUUUUCACAUGAAUGGUGUGGUCCUGUAUACGAAGAUGGGUGCAGGAAAUUUACAAGCCACCACAUUGACAUUUUGCUUUCUAUACUCAAUUCCGAAUGGUGUGAUGCUGAAGAAAGAGAUCAGGAUGAUGGGAUAGCUCUAAAUGAACAAAUAA
rnacentral:misc_RNA from 1 species